rnacentral:rRNA from 1 species
UACGGAGGGUGCAAGCGUUGUCCGGAUUUAUUGGGUUUAAAGGGUGCGUAGGCGGCUUUUUAAGUCAGUGGUGAAAUACAGCAGCUCAACUGUUGAGGUGCCAUUGAUACUGAAGAGCUUGAGUACAGAUGAGGUAGGCGGAAUUUAUGGUGUAGCGGUGAAAUGCAUAGAUACCAUAAAGAACACCGAUUGCGAAAGGCAGCUUACUAAGCUGUAACUGACGCUGAGGCACGAAAGCGUGGGGAGCGAACAGG